rnacentral:rRNA from 1 species
GAUGAACGCUGGCGGCGUGCCUAAUACAUGCAAGUCGAGCGAACAGACGAGGAGCUUGCUCCUCUGACGUUAGCGGCGGACGGGUGAGUAACACGUGGAUAACCUACCUAUAAGACUGGGAUAACUUCGGGAAACCGGAGCUAAUACCGGAUAAUAUAUUGAACCGCAUGGUUCAAUAGUGAAAGACGGUUUUGCUGUCACUUAUAGAUGGAUCCGCGCGGCAUUAGCUAGUUGGUAAGGUAACGGCUUACCAAGGCAACGAUGAGUAGCCGACCUGAGAGGGUGAUCGGCCACACUGAGACUGAGACACGGUCCAGACUCCUACGGGAGGCAGCAGUAGGGAAUCUUCCGCAAUGGGCGAAAGCUUGACGGAGCAACGCCGCGUGAGUGAUGAAGGUCUUCGGAUCGUAAAACUCUGUUAUUAGGGAAGAACAAAUGUGUAAGUAACUAUGCACGUCUUGACGGUACCUAAUCAGAAAGCCACGGCUAACUACGUG